rnacentral:rRNA from 1 species
AUACGGAGGAUGCGAGCGUUAUCCGGAUUUAUUGGGUUUAAAGGGUGCGUAGGCGGUUUUUCAAGUCAGCGGUGAAACGCCAGGGCUCAACCCUUGACCUGCCGUUGAAACUGUUGGACUAGAAUGCGGACGCUGCUGGAGGAAUGUGUGGUGUAGCGGUGAAAUGCAUAGAUAUCACACAGAACACCGAUUGCGAAGGCAGCUCACAAAUCCGUGAGUGACGCUGAGGCACGAAAGUGUGGGGAUCAAACAGGAUUAGAUACCCUGGUAGUCCACACUGUAAACGAUGAUAACUCGCUUUCGGCGAUACACAGUCGGUGGCCAAGCGAAAGCGAUAAGUUAUCCACCUGGGGAGUACGACCGCAAGGUUGAAACUUAAAUGAAUUGGCGGGG